CCAGAGAAUUUAGCAGAGAUGCUUUAGUGCCUUCGGGAACUCUGAGACAGGUGCUGCAUGGCUGUCGUCAGCUCGUGUUGUGAAAUGUUGGGUUAAGUCCCGCAACGAGCGCAACCCUUAUCCUUUGUUGCCAGCACGUAAUGGUGGGAACUCAAAGGAGACUGCCGGUGAUAAACCGGAGGAAGGUGGGGAUGACGUCAAGUCAUCAUGGCCCUUACGAGUAGGGCUACACACGUGCUACAAUGGCGCAUACAAAGAGAAGCGACCUCGCGAGAGCAAGCGGACCUCAUAAAGUGCGUCGUAGUCCGGAUUGGAGUCUGCAACUCGACUCCAUGAAGUCGGAAUCGCUAGUAAUCGUAAAUCAGAAUGUUACGGUGAAUACGUUCCCGGGCCUUGUACACACCGCCCGUCACACCAUGGGAGUGGGUUGCAAAAGAAGUAGAUAGCUUAACCUUCGGGAGGGCAUUUACCACUUUGUGAUUCAUGACUGGGGUGAAGUCGUAACAAGGUAAGCGUAGUGCU
rnacentral:rRNA from 1 species